CAUUGAAAUUCUGGUUCGCGUACGAUCACCUAAGUUAAGCAACCUCAAGCCUGGUCAGUACCUAGACAGGUGACCGCUUGGGAAUACCAAGUGAUGCAAG